GACGAACCGUGCGAACGUUAUUCGGAAUCACUGGGCUUAAAGCGCGUGUAGGCGGGACGGCACGUCUGUCGCUGAAAUCCCCCGGCUUAACCGGGGAACUGGCGUAGAUACGACCGUCCUGGAGGGGCGUAGGGGGACCUGGAAUUCCCGGUGUAGCGGUGAAAUGCGCAGAUAUCGGGAGGAACACCUAUGGCGAAGGCAGCUCGCUGGGACGUUACUGACGCUGAGACGCGAAAGCGUGGGGAGCAAACGGG
rnacentral:rRNA from 1 species